UCCGAUAUGGUGUAAUGGUUAACAUUCCGCGUUUUCAUGUUUAAAUGUCCGCGGCACUCGGGGUUCGAUUCCCCGUAUCGGAG